rnacentral:rRNA from 1 species
ACGGGGUGCAGCAGGCGCGAAAACUUUACAAUGCGGGAAACCGUGAUAGGGGAACUCUGAGUGCCCGUAAAAUCGGGCUGUCCAUCUGUUUAAAUAACAGGUGAAGAAAGGGCCGGGCAAGACCGGUGCUAGCCGCCGCGGUAAUACCGGCGGCUCGAGUGGUGGCCACUAUUACUGGGCUUAAAGCGUUCGUAGCUGGUUUGUUAAGUCUCUGGGGAAAUCUUUCGGCUCAACCGGAAGGCGUCUCAGGGAUACUGGCAGACUUGGGACCGGGAGAGGUGAGAGGUACUCCAGGGGUAGGAGUGAAAUCCUGUAAUCCUUGGGGGACCCCCUGUGGCGAAGGCGUCUCACCAGAACGGCUCCGACAGUGAGGGACGAAAGCUGGGGGAGCAAACCGGAUUAGAUACCCGGGUAGUCCCAGCCGUAAACGAUGCGCGUUAGGUGUAUCGGUGACCACGAGUCACCGAGGUGCCGAAGAGAAAUCGUGAAACGUGCCGCCUGGGAAGUACGGUCGCAAGGCUGAAACUUAAAGGAAUUGGCGGGGGAGCAC